CAAACCCUGCGACGAGCGUCAGCUCAUGUUGUCUUAAACCGAUGCGUUUUAUAUAGGGAGUUCAAUAAACUUGGGGAACAGCAUGCCCUUCUGAAGGGAAGCUGGGAAACAAGGUGAGAAUGCCCACCUGCGAGAGCGGGUUUUAAGGCACUUAGGGCAGCGCCGGAGUGGGGCAUCC
rnacentral:other from 1 species